rnacentral:rRNA from 1 species
AUGAUGUCUCCAUCUCGGAGGCGACUCUCCACCGCCUGCUUGCCGGCUGCACUAUGCUACAGAGCCUUGAUCUUUGAUGGAUACGUGGGCUCUGCAGCAUCCGGAUUGUCUCGCCGACUCUCCGAAGUAUUGGCGUAUCUGUUUGUGACCACUAUGAUGAAGAGCCUGUGUUCCCGGAACUUGUUAUUGAGGAUGCACCUUGCCUUGAAAAGAUUGAUCCCACAUGGUUUAAGUGGUAGCCCAAGGACAAUCAGGGUCAUCGCGGCGCCAAAACUGACGGUGUUGGCCUACCUGUCUAGGCAAAUCUACGAGCUUGUUAUUGGAACCAUAAGGGUUAAGGAAAUGAUCCCCAUCUUGUUCACCACGACCGUGCGCACGGUGAAGGUCUUAGUUCUAGAAUCUAUCGGCCCUAAUCUGGAUGCAGUUGUUGGAUUUCUUAGAUGCUUUCCCUGCGUGGAGAAGCUGUACAUUCGGUCACUUAUUAGGAAGGACAUGAAAAAUGCGCAGCAAUAUGACGCACUUGUUGAUCCUCUGGAAUGCCUUGAUCUUCAUCUCAGAGCAAUCGUGGUGAACACCUAUCGAGGCUUGAGACCAGACAUUAACUUUGCCAAGUUCUUUGUUCUGAACGCAAAGGCGCUCAAGGUAAUGAAAUUCGGUGUCUCUGCUAGUAACUGCAAUGAGCAAUGGAUGCCCGAUCAGCGCACAAAGCUACAACUGGAUAACAGCGCUUCUCGAGAUGCCCGGUUCGAUUUUGAGAGAUAUAAUAGUGAUGAGGGCAUGCUUUUUGCCAACAAGAGGCACACGCAUGAUAUGUGGAUAGCUGAUCCCUUUGAUAGCUCACUAUGCAAAUGUUGUGGACCGUUUUGA